rnacentral:rRNA from 1 species
ACGGAGGGUGCAAGCGUUGUGCGGAAGAAAGGGGUUUAAAGGGUGCGUAGGCGGACGAUUUAGUCAGAUGUGAAAUACUUCAGCUUAACUGAAGAAAUGCCUUUGAUACUGCAUGACUUGAGUACAGGAGAGGGAAAUGGAAUUCCUGGUUUAGAGGUGAAAUUCGUAGAUAUCGGGAGGAACACCAGUGGCGAAGGCGAUUUCCUGGCCUGAUACUGACGCUGAGGCGCGAAAGCGUGGGGAGCAAACAG